CAGAAUGGGCACAUCACUGAAGACAACUUUUGAAGCUGAUGUAUAAAGUUCAAAUAUGAGUAUCUGAAAAGGACGGGAAAAAAAUACUGUCCUUCAUCAGUAAAAGAGAUACACUCACCAUUCAUACACACAAGCAAGCACUCCCCGUGCAUACAUGACCACCAAUCCAGCAUCUCGGACUGUAAUGCUGGCAUUCUGUAUGCAUAUCAACAAGCGCUGGAACGAAAAUGGAGAACACAAGAGCAGAGAGGGCCGUGAGACGGUGUCAGCCGAUAGCACGCUGACUAGGACAUCACCGCAACAGGAGUGACUUCUACCUGAAGAAAAUAUAAGUGCCGCUUCUGCCAGCCUCAGCCGCACAGUAGAAGAUGGGCACUAG